rnacentral:rRNA from 1 species
GACGAACGCUGGCGGCGUGCCUAAUACAUGCAAGUAGAACGCUGAAGGAGGAGCUUGCUUCUCCGGAUGAGUUGCGAACGGGUGAGUAACGCGUAGGUAACCUGCCUGGUAGCGGGGGAUAACUAUUGGAAACGAUAGCUAAUACCGCAUAACAGUAGAUGUUGCAUGACAUUUGCUUAAAAGGUGCAAUUGCACCACUACCAGAUGGACCUGCGUUGUAUUAGCUAGUUGGUGAGGUAACGGCUCACCAAGGCGACGAUACAUAGCCGACCUGAGAGGGUGAUCGGCCACACUGGGGCUGAGACACGGCCCAGACUCCUACGGGAGGCAGCAGUAGGGAAUCUUCGGCAAUGGACGGAAGUCUGACCGAGCAACGCCGCGUGAGUGAAGAAGGUUUUCGGAUCGUAAAGCUCUGUUGUAAGAGAAGAACGAGUGUGAGAGUGGAAAGUUCACACUGUGACGGUAUCUGACCAGAAAGGGACGGCUAACUACGUG